UACGUAGGGUGCAAGCGUUGUCCGGAAUUAUUGGGCGUAAAGAGCUCGUAGGCGGUUUGUCGCGUCGGAUGUGAAAGCCCGGGGCUCAACCCCGGGCCUGCAUUCGAUACGGGCAGACUAGAGUUCGGUAGGGGAGUCUGGAAUUCCUGGUGUAGCGGUGAAAUGCGCAGAUAUCAGGAGGAACACCGGUGGCGAAGGCGGGACUCUGGGCCGAUACUGACGCUGAGGAGCGAAAGCGUGGGGAGCAAACAGG
rnacentral:rRNA from 1 species